rnacentral:rRNA from 1 species
CCUACGGGGGGCUGCAGUGGGGAAUAUUGGACAAUGGGGGGAACCCUGAUCCAGCCAUGCCGCGUGUGUGAAGAAGGCCCUCGGGUUGUAAAGCACUUUCAGUGAGGAAGAACGCCUGGUGGUUAAUACCCAUCAGGAAAGACAUCACUCACAGAAGAAGCACCGGCUAACUCCGUGCCAGCAGCCGCGGUAAUACGGAGGGUGCGAGCGUUAAUCGGAAUUACUGGGCGUAAAGCGCGCGUAGGUGGCUUGAUAAGCCGGUUGUGAAAGCCCCGGGCUCAACCUGGGAACGGCAUCCGGAACUGUCAAGCUAGAGUGCAGGAGAGGAAGGUAGAAUUCCCGGUGUAGCGGUGAAAUGCGUAGAGAUCGGGAGGAAUACCAGUGGCGAAGGCUGCCUUCUGGACUGACACUGACACUGAGGUGCGAAAGCGUGGGUAGCAAACAGGAUUAGAUACCCCGGUAGUC